GCCUGGGUGGCUCAGUCAGUUGAGCAUCUGACUUCAGCUCAGGUCGUGAUCUCACGGUCCAAGGGUUCGAGCCCCACAUCAGGCU
rnacentral:tRNA from 1 species